GACCAAUGGCCCAACGACAACAACGCUUAUGCAACUGCAGAUGAGCUUGAUCUCGAUUUAAGACAAAUAGAGAACUCAAAACAAAGCGGAACAAGUUCUGAAUCGAAUGAACGGAAGAAAAACACAUUGAGAAGAGACGCCGCUGCAGUGAACCGGCCAAGGACUCCGAACCCAAACCCACGUCCCACCAUCCCACCUCGACCUGACAGAUACAUAACUAUCAGAGCGCCUCCGAAGGGACAAAACAGAAGCCCAGCGAUGACACAACCACCCCACUCAACUCUCUCCAGGUACACUGUGAUAUUUCUUCUGGUGCUGUGCAGUCUGUUAAUUGCGGUGAUCUGUGCUCUGAGCGUCAACUAUGGGAUAUUAUCUAAGGAUCACAAUGAAGUACUUGAGAAAAAGCAAGACUUGACACAACAAUAAAAAAUCUGAAAUCCCUGUCACUGUCAAAAUACUACAUUUUUGACAUACCACACGAAAACAUGUCGGAGUUCAGUAAGGAACAGCUAUUCAUAUUAAAUUAUGAAGU